UGGCACUUCCUGCCCCUUCAUGUGGGGUGAAGAAGGGGGAUGUAGCCACUGGGGUUCACUGUUGCCCCCCCAUCCGUGGGAGGUGGGGCUGCCCCCAGAGCCUCCCCAUGUUCCCAGCCUAGUCAGUGACAUCCUCCCCUCCCUGGGGCACAGGAGGAAGGUGAGCCUGACUUCCGCGGGAACACAGGGCAGGGCACACAGGACAGCUACUAGGUGGGGAUCUGCCUUUAUCUCCACAGGGCACCCACAAUCCUCCUUCCUGUGUCUGUGGCUCUCACAGUUGAGGGGCCUCCCGCGAGGGGGCCGUGCAGUGUGCGUCCUUCUGGGUCUGGUUUGUUUCCCUGAGCAGCGUGGCCUCGCGGUUUGUCCAUGCCUUAGCAGUGUCAGGAUCCCUUCCCUUUUCACUUCUGAGUAAUAUUCCACACACAAAUGGCCUGCCCUAUGUCCGUGGAUGGUUGGGUUGUUUUAAUCUUUUGAUGGUGAGUUCUGUCUCUGUGGUCACGGCUUGCCCGCUUUUUGCACACUCAUGUGACUUCCUCUCUCUGGGCGACAUACCUAAGUGUAGGACUGCUGGAGCAUCCAUAUUUAACGUCCAGCCUGUCUCCUGCCCCACAUUAGGCCCUUCACACUGAGCUACACCCCUAACCUUUUGAGACAGGGCGUCCCUCAGCCACCCUAACCCGGGCUGGGCUUGAACUUGCCAGCUUCCUCCCUCGGCCUGCCAGCCCUGCCAGCGCUGGCUCUGAGGUGACAGGCGUGGGCCUCUUGCUUUGGUCUUUUAGGUUUGCAGCAGCCCGGGACCGCCCCCAGGUCGGGUCACAGAGCCGGACCAGCUCACCAGGAACCCCGGGGCGCCCCGGGUGGGGUGGGGUGCAGGGCCAGGUCCCCGCCCUCGCCCUCUCGCACCUGCGCGGACUCCCGGGGCUUGAGCGCGGGUGGUGCUCGCGGCCCCGCCCCUCCCCUCCCCCUCCUCCCGGGCGAGCCAGGACCCAGGCCGCGCCCAGCCGCCUCUUCCACUUUCCUUCCCGAGUCGCACCGGGACCGCGGAGCGGGGCGCGCCUGCGCAGACGCCCACCUGGCUAAGGGGCAGGAGCCUUCACAGGGUCAGAGGAGGAAACGCACCUGUCCCAGGGCAGAUGGGUCCCGCGUGGGAGGAUUCCACAGCGCAAGCUGGGCGGGCGGCGAGCCAUGGCCCCUGGUUACUACAGCAAGUGUGGGGUUGGCGUGGGGGUCCUGGCGAGUGGGUGCCUCACAUGCUAAGCUCAUGAGAAGCGCUGGGUUCCAUCCCAGCGGAGCAUGAAGAGUAGAACCAGAGCCAGGAGUGGUGGCACCUACCUGGCAAGUGUGAGCUUGUGAGUUCGAUUUCUGAUACCAAAAAAAAGAGGGCAGCAAAGGAAGGCCAACAGGGAGCUGGACAUGAUCAAAAUGUGGGUAUAUGUCUAAAGUGCCAGGAUGUGCAGGCCCAUCGCCCCUGCACCUGGGAGGCUGAGGCAGGAGGACCUGAGUUCAAGGCCGUCCUGGGCCACAGAGCAAGACCUUGUCUCACCAAAAAAAAAAAAAAGCCGGAAUGAAUCUGGGCAAGGCGGUGCACACCUGUCAUCUCAGCGCCACCAGAGAGGCCGAGGCAGGACUGCCGCGAAUACAAGGUGGGACCCUUGAACUACACAGAGAGACCCUGGCUCAAAAACCCUAAAUAUUAAGAUACAAAAUGUUCCAAUAAAGACUCUCAUACUGGGAAAA